rnacentral:rRNA from 1 species
AAUGAACGUUGGCGGCGUGCUUAACACAUGCAAGUCGAGCGAGAGAGUUCCUUCGGGAAUGAGUAAAGCGGCGGACGGGUGUAGAACACGUGAGAAUCUACCCUCUAGUGAGGAAUACCUCCGAGAAAUCGGGGCUAAUACUGCAUAUUCCCUUCGGGGUAAAGGUGGCUUUAUGCUGCCGCUAGAGGAUGAGCUUGCGCGCUAUUAGCUUGUUGGUGGGGUAAAGGCCUACCAAGGCGAUGAUGGCUAGCCGGCCUGAGAGGGUGUACGGCCACAUUGGGACUGAGAUACGGCCCAGACUCCUACGGGAGGCUG